UCAGGGCGAGUCCUGGGCAGUGACGGACCCCACCCCGCCGCCUGCCCUGGCGCCCGCGCAGGCCGUGGGGCCGGACUCGGAGCUGGGCCCCGGGGCCCCCUCGCUACUCGCCGCGAAGCCGGGAGAGCCCCGGGGGUCUGGGCCCGCUGCGUCUGCCACUCACAGGCCGCCGGGCCUCCGGUAACGGAGCCAGGCCACCCCCGGAGGGUCCAACCUGCACUUUCAGCACUGUGGACUGUUGUGCACAACCCUAUCAACAUAAUAUUUUCCCAUGAUUGAUAGCCAGUUUGGAAGAGCAAGAGCAUGUUAAAUCAUAAAAACAAUACUGCUGAAAUUGAUCUCGUCUGCAAGGAAAACAAGAGUCUCCAACCUAUACUACUAUGGGAACAUGGAACUUGACUGAAAUUUCCCAUU